GAUGAACGCUGGCGGCGUGCUUAACACAUGCAAGUCGAACGAGGCAUUUGCGACAGAUUUUUUCGGAAUGAAGUUGCUUAUGACUGAGUGGCGGACGGGUGAGUAACGCGUGGGUAACCUGCCUUGUACUGGGGGAUAGCAGCUGGAAACGGCUGGUAAUACCGCAUAAGCGCACAAUGUUGCAUGACAUGGUGUGAAAAACUCCGGUGGUAUAAGAUGGACCCGCGUCUGAUUAGCUAGUUGGUGAGAUAACAGCCCACCAAGGCGACGAUCAGUAGCCGACCUGAGAGGGUGACCGGCCACAUUGGGACUGAGACACGGCCCAGACUCCUACGGGAGGCAGCAGUGGGGAAUAUUGCACAAUGGAGGAAACUCUGAUGCAGCGACGCCGCGUGAGUGAAGAAGUAAUUCGUUAUGUAAAGCUCUAUCAGCAGGGAAGAUAGUGACGGUACCUGACUAAGAAGCUCCGGCUAAAUACGUG
rnacentral:rRNA from 1 species